rnacentral:rRNA from 1 species
AGCUUGUUGGUGAGGUAAAAGCUCACCAAGGCGACGAUCUGUAGCGGGUCUGAGAGGAUGAUCCGCCACACUGGAACUGAGACACGGUCCAGACUCCUACGGGAGGCAGCAGUGGGGAAUUUUGGACAAUGGGGGCAACCCUGAUCCAGCCAUGCCGCGUGAGUGAAGAAGGCCUUCGGGUUGUAAAGCUCUUUCAGCCGGGAAGAAAACGCAUGGGUUAAUACCCUGUGUGGAUGACGGUACCGGAAUAAGAAGCACCGGCUAACUACGUGCCAGCAGCCGCGGUAAUACGUAGGGUGCGAGCGUUAAUCGGAAUUACUGGGCGUAAAGCGUGCGCAGGCGGUUUUGUAAGACAGGCGUGAAAUCCCCGGGCUUAACCUGGGAACUGCGUUUGUGACUGCAAGGCUAGAGUACGGCAGAGGGGGGUGGAAUUCCACGUGUAGCAGUGAAAUGCGUAGAGAUGUGGAGGAACACCAAUGGCGAAGGCAGCCCCCUGGGUCGAUACUGACGCUCAUGCACGAAUGCGUGGGUAGCAAACAGGAUUAGAUACCCUGGUAGUCCACGCCCUAAACGAUGUCAACUAGGUGUUGGGAGGGUAAAACCUUUUAGUACCGGAGCUAACGCGUGAAGUUGACCGCCUGGGGAGUACGGCCGCAAGGUUAAAACUCAAAGGAAUUGACGGGGACCCGCACAAGCGGUGGAUGAUGUGGAUUAAUUCGAUGCAACGCGAAAAACCUUACCUACCCUUGACAUGCCAAGAACUUUCCAGAGAUGGAUUGGUGCCCGAAAGGGAACUUGGACACAGGUGCUGCAUGGCUGUCGUCAGCUCGUGUCGUGAGAUGUUGGGUUAAGUCCCGCAACGAGCGCAACCCUUGUCGUUAAUUGCCAUCAUUUAGUUGGGCACUUUAACGAGACUGCCGGUGACAAACCGGAGGAAGGUGGGGAUGACGUCAAGUCCUCAUGGCCCUUAUGGGUAGGGCUUCACACGUCAUACAAUGGUCGGUACAAAGGGUCGCCAAGCCGCGAGGUGGAGCCAAUCCCAGAAAGCCGAUCGUAGUCCGGAUCGCAGUCUGCAACUCGACUGCGUGAAGUCGGAAUCGCUAGUAAUCGUGGAUCAGAAUGUCACGGUGAAUACGUUCCCGGGUCUUGUACACACCGCCCGUCACACCAUGGGAGCGGGUUCCGCCAGAAGUAGGUAGCCUAACCGCAAGGAGGGCGCUUACCACGGCGGGGUUCGUGACUGGGGUGAAGUCGGAACAAGGUAGCCGUAGGGGAACCUGCGGCUG